UGGGGCCUGGUGGCGGGUUCCGCCCUUCAACCGGCGGCAAUUCGUUCCGGCCGGGCCCUUCCCUUUGGAAGGAACCCUCAUGCCCCUUCACUGGGGGCGUUGCUGGGGGGAAAUCAAGGGACUUUAUACCUCUUGGAAAAAAAUUUAGAGUGUUUCAAAAGCCAAGGCCCUUUUGCUCGAAUAACGGUUUAGCCAUGGAAUAAUAAAUAGGGCGUGCGUUUCUAUUUUGUUGGUUUCUAGAGACGCCGCAAUGAUUAACAGGAACAGUCGGGGGCAUCAGUAUUCAGUUGUCAGAGGUGAAAUUCUUGGAUUUACUGAAGACUAACUACUGCGAAAGCAUUUGCCAAGGAUGUUUUCAUUAAUCAGUGAACGAAAGUUAGGGGAUCGAAGACGAUCAGAUACCGUCGUAGUCUUAACCGUAAACUAUGCCGACUAGGGAUCGGGCGAUGUUCUUUUUCUGACUCGCUCGGCACCUUACGAGAAAUCAAAGUUUUUGGGUUCUGGGGGGAUUAUGGUCGCAAGGCUGAAACUUAAAGAAAUUGACGGAAGGUCACCACCAGGCGUGGAGCCUGCGGCUUAAUUUGACUCAACACGGGGAAACUCACCAGGUCCAGAUGAAAUAAGGAUUGACAGAUUGAGAGCUCUUUCUUGAUUUUUCAGGUGGUGGUGCAUGGCCGUUCUUAGUUCGUGGGGUGACUUGUCUGCUUAAUUGCGAUAACGAGCGAGACCUUACUCUGCUAAAUAGCCAGGCUAACUUUGGUUGGUCGCCGGCUUCUUAGAGAGACUAUCAACUCAAGUUGAUGGAAGUUUGAGGCAAUAACAGGUCUGUGAUGCCCUUAGAUGUUCUGGGCCGCACGCGCGCUACACUGACAGAGCCAACGAGUUCUUUUCCUUGUUCGAAAGAAUUGGGUAAUCUUGUUAAACUCUGUCGUGCUGGGGAUAAAGCAUUGCAAUUAUUGCUUUUCAAUCUAGGAAUGCCUGAGUAAGCGCGUGUCAUCAGCAUGCGU
rnacentral:rRNA from 1 species